rnacentral:misc_RNA from 1 species
UCCGGUUUGACACCGGCAGUCCCCUUAGAGUCCUCAGCAUUACCUGUUAGUAACUAAGGGCAAAGGUUUCGCUCGUUAAGGGACUUAACCCGACAUCUCACGACACGAGCUGACGACAGCCAUGCAGCACCUGUACUUGUUGUACCCCGAAGGGCCUACUCCGCUUUCACGGAGAUAAUCCAAGCAUGUCAAGCCCAGGUAAGGUUCUGCGCGUUGCUUCGAAUUGAACCACAUGCUCCACCGCUUGUGUGAGCCCCCGUCAAUUCCUUUGAGUUUUAGCCUUGCGACCGUACUUCCCAGGCGGUCCACUUAGCACUUUUGCUUCGACCGAAAAACCGUCAGAGGUACUUCGAUCUAGUGGACAUCGUUUAGGGCCAGGACUAC